UAGAUUUAUCAAUACCACAAUAUGAGACAUUCCUCAAUGUCUUCUCAAACUUGUCUCAUUCUCAACUUCUGAUUGGAUAUUGUCAUUUCUAGGUGACUGAAAGUGAAAAAAAGACAGGAACUGAGGAAAGGGCAAAAGAACGAGCCUAAUGAUGCAGCCAUCAGUGAAAAACUUCAAGCCAGGUCCCAGAACAUCUGAAACUGGAAUGCCCCACCUGCUCCCAGUAGAAAAGGCCGCGUAACAAAGAAUCUGGGGCCUAGGGCAGGACCAGUAGGAUGGAGUGCAAUGGUGCAAUCUUGGCUCACCACAACCUCCGCUUCCCGAGUUCAAGAGAUUCUCCUGUCUCAGCCUCCUGAGUAGCUGGGAUUACAGUUCUGUUUUUGCCUUGGGAUUUUGAAGAUCCAUUUUCAGGUGUGUGGGACUUUGGGUGACUCCAGCGUCCACUGGGCCUGUGGGAAAAGCAGAUGGAGGAUGAGCACUGGAGACAGCCUGGAGGUCCUCCCCAAGGUAAAGUGGAGGACACAGGGCGGGGGAAAGCUGAGAAUGGAGCAGCUGUCCUGUGCCCAGGACUCACCUUCUCCUAGGAGACAAAGCAGCACCCAGCAGAGGAGCCCGGGGCCCAUGGCACAGAGGGGCAGGCAGCACUGCACCUGAUUCAGGGCUUGGUCCUCCUGGGGAAGAGCCGAGCUGCUCCCCCAGACUGCCCAGAGCCCUUUACAUCGCAGUGGAACACACAGCCAUCCUGUGGCCAAUAAGUGAAGCUUCAUCAUUGUUUAAUUCUGUAAUGGCCCAAGGAAUGCUGGGAAGUGUCUGCAGAGUGAGCUGCCAGAAUAUUCCAAAAGUGCCAUCCCACAGGUUUUAUGAGCAGCUUCCCUAAACCCUAAGUCCUACAUUAGUUCUAACCCUAACUAUUGCUUUGAGUUACCAAUCUUGAUAUCCCACCCUCAUUCUGAAUAACUCUUAUCACAUAGCUUCAGUUAUAGCCAAACUCUUUCUCCCUUAAAACUACCAUCUAAAGAAAGAGGAACAGAAUGAGAGGAAUGAAAGGAAAUAAUAUUUGGUUUUAAAUAGUAAGAAGACACAGACGUUGAAGUAUAAAGAGAUUAUUUAAUCUGAAUCACUAAAGAUAAACAAAAACAUCCUCCAAAAAUGACAAUGUUACCCCAAAAGUAUAGAUCAGCAAAAGAUGAAGUCAAAUGUCUAUUAAUAAAAAGUAAAAUUGAAAUAUAUAAAACGAGACCUGUUACAAGACAAUAAGCAAUGGUGGAGGGAGCAGUACCUAAUGCAGAAAAUAAGGAUGGAUAUAACUAAGAGUAGCAAAGGGGCUGCUAUAGGAAAUGAUCAGCUUGUACAAUGCAUAUCCACUGAUCUGAGCAGCAAACAGGGAAGAGAUGAUUCUGGAAGAGGCAGAGGAGCAGCGGGAGAUGAGGACACGCUGAUGCAAAAUAGUAUCAUAAGGAAGCAAAUCAGCCAGAGGACUGUGGAUUAGAUGACUUUGCUUUCUCCUGUCUCCUGUGACAGCUGAACUGGACCAUUUUCCUCUCCAAGGAUUUGUUCCUGCACCUGGAGUUAGAUGCCCCUGGUAUUUGCUUCUCCUCAGGUUCCCAUGGAUGAACUCCCACUCCUUCCUUGUUGACCAUGGUCUGAAGGAGAGGUCAUCUCUCCCUCCCCUUUAAUCUCACAGUACUGGGGAUUGGCACAGACUUCUCAAUUGGCAUCGACCUCUCUCAUGGCAUGCUCACAUGCCCCCUAACUGUGCCUUUUCAUUUCCACUAGACUGAAAGUUAGAUGUGGGCAAUGGAACUUAACACCUUUAUCAUAAGAUACACAAGUAACUGCUUUCAAAAUUAUUGCUGUUUCUUUCACUGCCUUGGGUUACAGCUGAACAGGAAAAAAAGGCACAAUUUCUUAAUGUGACUUAACCACAAAAACCUUCCCAAGUGCCAAAAACAAUAUAACUACCAAGGGAUUGCUCUCCUCAUUGGCGAGAUGGCAAAAUAAACCAAAAAAAAAAACAAAGAAAAUAUUGUCAAAUACUUUAAUGGAGACACAGAAAGCCAGUCCCUCUUAUACAAACAUCACUGUUUGGCCUCCCUCUACCUGAGAGACAGACAGAGCCAUUCCUGUGCCCUACACCUGUCAGGAAAGCCCUGCUGGAGCCUGUGGGGAGCUGGUGAGGAUGAGCCUUGGUGAUUCUGCCCCAGAGCAGGGAUUCUCAGGGAACUCUGGACAACUUCCAGGGACUGAGAUGGAGAGUGGCCACACUCCGUCUAGGAGAGGAGAAUACUGAGGAUGUGACCCUUCUGACCUCUCAGCCUAAAGUAAAAGCAGAGUCAUUCCUGACUGGUGUGGAGCUGCUUAGUUUCUAAAGCAAAAUAGUCCUUGUUUCAGGGUCUGUCAGUGACAUAGAAGAAUAACGGGGCUCUAUGUGGUUCACAACCCAGAGUUGCUGCUUGGCCAUCUCUGUUCCCAAUGACUCCAGCAUCUGAAUAUUCCAUGCGAGGAAAGAUAAUUUGUAAAUAAUGAACUGGUUCAGUGAUACCUUUAGGUACAUUCAAAAUAGUUGUCAUGUUCCAGACUGGCAUUCUUGAAGGAAACACAGAGCUACAGAGCAAGAGAAUUUGGGAGUUGAAUGGAAAUAGGAACAAUUGACGGCCCCUUAGGUGAUGGGUUCUAAGAACAAGAGUAGUGGGGAAAUAAAUUCUGAGCUAUAUUGGCCCCACAAGAAAUGGCAUAACAGGGACAUCAGAAAAUACCCCAGUAAUGUGCUGCUAAACUGUGUGUCUGUGAAGGUGGGGGCAUGGCUGGUAGCAUUUCCUAAUUUCUGUUGUACCAACAUACCCACCAUGGCAGAUUUCAAGCUCCCAGCAUGGCUUCACUGAACAGGGAGCUGGGAAAAGUAUGCCUAUUUACUUCUUUUGAGUCAUACAAGCCAUAGACUAAAGAGAAAAGCUUCAAACUUCUUCAAUGCUUCCUACUCAACAUACUAAAAUGAGGCCACAGCAACUAUAGCACACCUCAUUGUUUUCAUGAUAGGAUCAGUGUGUGAUCCUGGGUCUUGGAAUGGACAAAGGGAUGUUUGUGCAGAGAAAGGAUUUCUGAGUCCUCUGAAGCUGUCAAGAUCACAGAGCAAAGAGUUAUGCUGGUUGGUUGGGGAGCUGCUAGCCUUUGACUUAGAGUAAUUGCAAUGAAAUGUUUCUCCUGCUUUACUUAAGACAACAGAAUGAUUUCAAUAAAGCAGAAACCCUAUGCCUUCCUGAAGGCCAAGGCUAAGACACCCACUCCUUGCUUGGAGCAGUGAGCUGGCUCCGAGCCCUCCUACAGUGCAGUGGGACGUGAUUGUUUUCACCACCUACAUUUGCAGUCACUGUGUUUCAGGAAUGAAUCUGUGGUCUCUUUCCACCCAAAGGACAACCGAGGUCCAAAUCUACCUCUUUCCCAGGAAAAGUGAGGAGCAAAGAGAGGCCUCUGUUAAGGAUCUCUGGGAGCUGCAAAGAGAGAGAAGUAUGAGGUUUGUGAACAGGAAGGAGGCGACUGUGCCACGCUGUGGCUAAGCUGCUGGCACAGAGAUACAUGGCCGAGUCCCGCUGCUCUGUGCGCUGAAUCGUCUGAGUGGAGUUGGAUCCCUCAGGCCUCUCUGCAGAGAACCGAUCAUUGGGCAGCCCUGAUUUGUCUGGUUGAGCUUCAUAAUUGAAGUAAGUCAGAAACUCUGGGCCCUGCCCCAGGGCCUGUUGAUACCAAUAAAGGGUUGCAUGACUCGAAAUUGGAUCACACCUGAGAGUUACAUCCUGUCCCCUCUUUGUGACUUUGUACCUGGGCGACUGGGAGACUCCAGCACCUGUGUGAUCUGUGGAAAUAGAAUCUGGCAACAGAAUAAGGAAAACAUUUGUAGUCAUCUCACACACACACACACAGACACACAGACACACAUGCAUACACACACACGCCUACAUACAGAAAAAAUAUGAAACUACUUUGUGUUCUGAGGACUCACCUGUCCCUAGGAAACCCAAGACCACCCAGCAGAAGAGCCUGGUACCCAUGACAGUGUCAGACCAGGAUGGGGGCUUUACCAGAUCAGUGUCACUGUGAGCAGGAGCAGAGGAUGAGGGAUGUCCUUGUCUCCACAGGGCAGUUCCCACAGUGACAUCACUUCCUCUCUCAAUCCUCAGGACCUCAGGGUCAUAUCAUUUAUAUUAGAACACACUUGGGUGACACUUUAAAUAUUUAUAACCUCCGUUUUAACAACAUCAAUUCAUGGCUCAUUUUUUGUGCUCCAGAGCUGUCUGUGCCUGGAGACCUCACACUGCAUCUCUGAGUUCAUCUUCUCAUCCUACAGCCGCUCCCCUGCCUGCUGGGCAUGUCCUGUAGGAUGCAACAACAGCGCCCCUAACAUAGGGCACAAAGGGUUGAGCUCAUUGUCUUUCCCGCAAGUCAGGGUCCCCUGUGCCAUCCCAAUCAUGCCCCAGCUUCCUCCAUUCCCCCAGUCACACGUGCCCAAUGAGACUGUCCCAUCACAUGGGUUCCCUCAAGAACUGCCCUCAUGCCUUUCUUCUGGGAUCAUUUCCCACCCUUGUUAACUGUAAUUCAGAAAAGAUACCCAUAGAAAACCAUCUCAGGCAUAGAGUGACUUAUUAAUGCUCAUCUAUUCCAUGCCCUAGACUGGGUAACUGGGAACUUCCAUGUGAAAAACACUAGGACCUAAAGUUCUAGCAUCAAAGAUUUGUUUUACCGUUGUCUAAUUUAAGACGCUGAUGGAAGAAAAGUACUCAGUUUACUGUUUAGGUCCAACUUAUAAAAAUAAAAUGAAUAUUCUUUACCCUGAAAUCAUACAUUCUCCUUUGAGUAAAUCAAAAGGUCACAUAAAUCAUGAAUUAAACCUACCAGGCUAGACUGGGCCAAGAGAAGACAGAGCUUUUUCCUGGAAAGGCUAUGUUUCCAGGGUUAGUCAAUGUGGUGCAGGAAGGAGGCUGGUAUGUGAAGUAUUUUUCCUCGUUAGAAGAUGCUGGGAUGUGUGAUAUCCUGGGUACUCAGCUGAUCUGGGGGGAAGGGUGGCCAAGUGUAUAAUACAAGGGAUGAAAUGUCAUCAGUAGGAUUGUCCUGGGAAAUUGCCUUUCAACAAUCUGAGACAUGUUUUGGGCUCUUUGGCCCUCUCUGCUCCAUCCUGUUUGGGGGCCAGGUCUCUACAUGGAGAGAAGGCAACUCUAGCACACAGUAUUCUUGCCAUCUUCACAGCAUUGCAGGGCAAUUUCUGCAGAUCUGAGGAUUUCACUUUAGGUUUGCCAUCAAAUCAUUGAGCUGAUCAGCUACAAAUUCAUGAAGCACAUUUCUCAUACUGCACAGUCAAAAGAGAGACCAGAGCACUUGCUUUGGUUAUAAAAUAACUGGAUGGAGGAAGGCAGCAAGAUGUGAGCUUCCCUCCUACUGUCUCCACAGGUCACUGCACUCUGACCAGGGGUCUGAUGUCCAUCCAACUCCAUCAGGGUGGAAGCUCAGGAAGGAGACAGAAGCAGGAGGCAGAGCCCUGCCUCUGGGUGGAGCGAGAUUUCAGGCACAGGAUUAAAAGAAAAGUUAGUAGCUGUCUGGAACAUCUACAUACAAAUUGUGUACACAUUCACUUGGGCAGCACAGGUGUCCCCCGGAGAGGAGUCCACGGACCGUGGCAGGUUGAGUCAGUUGUGUGAUCUGAUGCCUUAAUCUGGGAGAAUCCAUACUGUGCUGGAUUGUGUUAAGUCAACUUUGCAAAUGUAAGAGUCUGACUUUCCCAGAAUGCCAUUUAUCAUUCUGGGUUAGAGAUGGUCAAGGAUACAUUUGGUAACAUUUAGAAGACAGAUAUAAAACAGUCACUAUAACAACUGGCAGGUCAUUGUGGUGAGAGAGUGAGAGUCAGUGACCAGCAGAUACAGAGGCAUCCAACAGACCUAGGAAGUCCUGUUCCUUCUGCACCCUGUGUCCAGUUCAUCUUGCCAAAUGCUGCCCAACAGCAGCCAGGCUGCCCCCAGUGUUUGGCACUAUACCCGCAGGCAUGGCCCCCACACAGAGGGAACAGCUUCCCCAGAAGCAGGUUUCCUCGGCCUUUUCCUGUGCUCCCGGCUCAAGGUCCCACUGCAUGGCCUGGCAUGCUCUGAUCCUCUCAUGUUCCUGCCACUCCAGCCUGUCCUGCCAGAGCUCCAGGAGCCCUGACUACUGACUGGCUCCCUCACCUUCUGACUUCUCCCCUUAAGACCUUGUCUUCCUCAGCUCCUCCCACAUAUGCAUAAAGUCUAAUUCUGAUCAUAAAUCUGUUACACUCACAAACCUGUAGUGGCUCUGUUUUAUUGAUGCAAACCUAAUGGAGAUUUUCUUACCAGAAGUGGUUUCAAGGAACAACCUUUAAGGAUGGAAUUCUUGAAGUGGAUCUCUGAUUUGUCUAGAUCUGUUGUGGGGAAAGACCCUGAAGGAGAGCACAGAGACCUGGAGGAGGUCAGGUGCUGCAGCCACAAGAGGAAGCCUUGAGCCGGGUGUGGCCGCCAUGAUAGUGAUUCCCCAUCAAUUUCCAAGACCGACCUGAGCCCAGCAAUCAAAGGGGUGGGCUUUCUUGUACUUAAUGCUAGAUCUCUGCCAGGUUACAGUAGAUGUAGCGUGUUCCUGCUAUUUGUUCGUCCACCCACUCAUCACUCACUCAGCCUGUCAUUCACUCAUCUAUUCUCUGUGAAAUGGGUCUCCCCACAUGCCAGGCACCGAUGUUGGUAAAUACAGCAGGCACAGUCUUAGCUCUCAUGGGCUUAAAAAUUGGGUGGAGAGGCCAGGCGUGGUGGCUAACGCCUUUAUCCCCACACUUUGGGAGGCCGAGAAGGGCAGAUCAUGAGGCCAGGAGAUCGAGACCAUCCUGGCCAACAUGGUGAAACCCCAUCUCUACUAAAAAUACAAACAAGAAUUAGCUGGGCGUGGUGGCACAUGUCUGUAAUCCCAGCUACUCAGGAGGCUGAGGCAGGAGAAUCACUUGAAUCAGAGUAUCAGAGGUUGCAGUGAGCAGAGAUCAUGCCACUGCACUCCAGCCUGGUGACAGAGUGAGACUGUGUCUUAAAAAAAAAAAAAAAAAAAAAAAAAAAAAAAAAAAAAAAAAAAAAAAAAAAAAAUG